UGGGGAAUAUUGGACAAUGGGCGCAAGCCUGAUCCAGCAAUGCCGCGUGAGUGAAGAAGGUCUUCGGAUUGUAAAGCUCUUUCGACGGGGACGAUGAUGACGGUACCCGCAGAAGAAGUCCCGGCUAACUUCGUGCCAGCAGCCGCGGUAAUACGAAGGGGGCUAGCGUUGCUCGGAAUGACUGGGCGUAAAGGGCGCGUAGGCGGUUUGUACAGUCAGAUGUGAAAUUCCUGGGCUCAACCUGGGGGCUGCAUUUGAUACGUGCAGACUUGAGUGAGGAAGAGGGUCGUGGAAUUCCCAGUGUAGAGGUGAAAUUCGUAGAUAUUGGGAAGAACACCGGUGGCGAAGGCGGCGACCUGGUCCUUGACUGACGCUGAGGCGCGAAAGCGUGGGGAGCAAAC
rnacentral:rRNA from 1 species